rnacentral:rRNA from 1 species
AUUAACGCUAGCGGCAGGCACAAUACAUGCAAGUUGAACGGCAGCACAGGUAGCAAUACUGGGUGGCGAGUGGCGCACGGGUGCGUAACACGUAUGCAACCUACCCUAUACAGGCGAAUAACCUUUAGAAAUGAGGGCUAAUACGCCGUAGUAUUACAGAUGGGCAUCUAUUUGUAAUUAAAGAUUUAUCGGUAUAGGAUGGGCAUGCGUCCCAUUAGUUAGUUGGUAAGGUAACGGCUUACCAAGACGAUGAUGGGUAGGGG